rnacentral:rRNA from 1 species
CCCUUAGAUGUUCUGGGCCGCGCGCGUGCUACACUGAGUGGAUCAGCGGGUCAGGUUGCGCGAAAGUGUUUCCUAAUCUUGAAAUCCGCUCGUGAUGGGGAUUGACGGUUGCAAUUUUCUGUCAUGAACGAGGAAUACCUUGUAAGCGCGGGUCAUCAUCCCGCGCUGAAUACGUCCCUGCCCUUUGUACACACCGCCCGUCGCUCCUACCGAUUGAGUGGUCCGGUGAGGCUUUGGGAUCUGGAUGGAAAGAGCGUUUCGCUGUUUCUGCCCGGAAAACUCAGUCGAACCUUAUCAUUUAGAGGAAGGAGAAGUCGUAACA